rnacentral:lncRNA from 1 species
UCAGUUUGUUAUUUUAUUUCAUCUUCUUUUCAUUAGUUUUGUAUGAAAUAAUGCCGAAAACAAUCAAAAGUUCGACGAGAAAGCUUCUAUUUACUAUGAUUGACAAAUAUAAAGACGUACAAAGUGAUUUGAAUCAGAAAUUUGCAGAGAAAAUACGACGACUGGAUUCAGUCAUUUCACUUUUAGAUAAUAUUAACGAGGACAACGACUACGAGGAAACAAAACUAACAAUUGCGGAAACAGUAAAGAAAUUGGAAACUCUCGAAAGUAAUGAAAUGUUUGCGAGUGAAACACAGUACUUAGAAAAAAAUCCAUCAAAUAAACGUUUUGUAAUAA